AUUUGACUGAGAGAACUUCCACCCAGGCACACAUGGAAGUUCAUUCUGACCCUGGUUAUUGUGGUGACUUCAUUUCCCCCUUGUGUAUCAUGGAAGACCCUCUCGUAAUAGUAAUCACGUGUUGGAACAACUGUUUAACUACAUGUCCUUUUGUGCUUGCCUUUGAUGAGAACAGAGUUUUAAAGGUUUUGAGACCUG